rnacentral:tRNA from 1 species
GCCUGAAUGGCUCAGUUGGUUGAGCGUCCGACUUUGGCUCAGGCCAUGAUCUCAUGGUUCGUGAGUUCGAGCCCCACAUCGGGCU